rnacentral:rRNA from 1 species
UACGUAGGGUGCGAGCGUUGUCCGGAAUUAUUGGGCGUAAAGAGCUCGUAGGCGGUGUGUCACGUCGGCCGUGAAAACCCUGCAGCUUAACUGUGGGCGUGCGGUCGAUACGGGCAUCACUGGAGUUCGGCAGGGGAGACUGGAAUUCCUGGUGUAGCGGUGAAAUGCGCAGAUAUCAGGAGGAACACCGGUGGCGAAGGCGGGUCUCUGGGCCGAUGACUGACGCUGAGGAGCGAAAGCGUGGGGAGCAAACAGG